rnacentral:rRNA from 1 species
UACGGAGGGUGCGAGCGUUGUCCGGAAUCACUGGGCGUAAAGGGCGCGUAGGCGGCCUGAUAAGUAGGGGGUGAAAUCCUGCGGCUUAACCGCAGGGCUGCCUUCUAAACUGUCAGGCUUGAGCACAGUAGAGGCAGGUGGAAUUCCCGGUGUAGCGGUGGAAUGCGUAGAGAUCGGGAAGAACAUCAGUGGCGAAGGCGGCCUGCUGGGCUGUUGCUGACGCUGAGGCGCGACAGCGUGGGGGAGCAAACAGGG